UUUUGGACAAUGGGCGCAACCCUGAUCCAGCAAUGCCGCGUGAGUGAAGAAGGCCUUCGGGUUGUAAAGCUCUUUUGUCAGGGAAGAAACACCGGCUCUAACACAGUCCGGGAAUGACGGUACCUGAAGAAUAAGCACCGGCUAACUACGUGCCAGCAGCCGCGGUAAUACGUAGGGUGCGAGCGUUAAUCGGAAUUACUGGGCGUAAAGCGUGCGCAGGCGGUUAUACAAGACAGGCGUGAAAUCCCCGGGCUUAACCUGGGAAUGGCGCCUGUGACUGUAUAGCUAGAGUGUGUCAGAGGGGGGUAGAAUUCCACGUGUAGCAGUGAAAUGCGUAGAUAUGUGGAGGAAUACCAAUGGCGAAGGCAGCCCCCUGGGAUAACACUGACGCUCAUGCACGAA
rnacentral:rRNA from 1 species